GGUUGAUCCUGCCAGUAGCAUAUGCUUGUCUCAAAGAUUAAGCCAUGCAUGUCUAAGUACACACGGGCGGUACAGUGAAACUGCGAAUGGCUCAUUAAAUCAGUUAUGGUUCCUUUGGUCGCUCCCCUCCCGUUACUUGGAUAACUGUGGUAAUUCUAGAGCUAAUACAUGCCGACGAGCGCCGACCUCCGGGGACGCGUGCAUUUAUCAGACCAAAACCAACCCGGGCUCGCCCGGCGGCUUUGGUGACUCUAGAUAACCUCGAGCCGAUCGCACGCCCCCGUGGCGGCGA
rnacentral:rRNA from 1 species